AGCGGCGGACGGGUGAGUAACGCGUAGGUAACCUGCCUCAUACAGGGGGAUAACAGUUGGAAACGGCUGCUAAUACCGCAUAAGCGCACAGUACCGCAUGGUACCGUGUGAAAAACUCCGGUGGUAUGAGAUGGACCCGCGUCUGAUUAGCUAGUUGGUGGGGUAACGGCCUACCAAGGCGACGAUCAGUAGCCGACCUGAGAGGGUGACCGGCCACAUUGGGACUGAGACACGGCCCAA
rnacentral:rRNA from 1 species